AAUCUAUAGCUCAAGCUCAAACUAUUUGAGUUUUGUCAAUGUUUAAGGAUUUGUCAUUGUCAACUUAAUUUUGAUUUAGAUUAGAUCAUGGCCUCAUGGGCAUUCAAUAAUGUAUUAUUCAUUUUUUUUUUUUUCUCUUUGUAUAUUGUUGAUUAUAAAUAUAUUUAAUUGAUAUGGUUAAAGACCAAUAUAGAAGUGGGUUCUGUGGGCUUGAGUUCACUAAAUUUUUUUUUUCUUUUUUUUACUAGACUAAUUUUAACCCAAUCAAUUUUUUUUAUUUAUUAAUAGACCCACCCAAUCAAACCCAAAUCCACCGUAUUGAAAUAAAGGCCUGUCCAAGGCCACAAAGGCGUCGCCUAGCACCUAUAAAUAACAAAACAUGUUUAGGGCAAAUCAUUUCUGCCUCCCCAGUCGCCUCCAUCUCUAUUCUAGUUCUCGACUCUGAACUUACCCCCACUCUCUCUCUGUGCAACUACAAGUAUCAGAAGUUCAAAACCCAGUUAAUCUAUCUGUCUGCAAGAAUCAAAAGCUCAAAACCCAUAUCGGCAUAUCAUUUCAGAUUGUUCAAAAAAUCAAAACCCAUAUCUUUCAGUUUCCAUCGCCCGCUGUUCCGGUUCGGGUUCGCCGUUCGCAAGCUUCAGCCGCUGUCUCUCAACUCUCAAGCUUGCCCCCCCCUCUCUCUCUGCAACUGCUAACUUGGUUAGCAUCAGGCCUUAACAUUUAGCAAGAACAAGGUUCAAGAAACAUGCCUCCUCAGUCAUCAGGUCUCUUUUCUGAAAGAAGAGAGUUGAUUGGAGUGGGUGGAGUAAGGAAAAAGAAAAUAGGUCUAAAACAAAAAAAUGCCUUGUUCAGUAUCUACAAAAGACCAAGGUGUGCAUCUGAUUGCAUUUUGUCAUAUUACUUCCCCCGGAUUAAUCCCAGAAACUUCAAACUAUUCUUCGAGUUUUCACCAGUUCCUAUUUGAGGGACAAGCUUCUUGACGUCCAUCCCUCACUCAGAGGAAUUCGAGCCUGUGUCAUGAUCGAAAACCCAGUCCAAGAGUGUGCUGGUGUUCUUUUUGCCCAGCAAAACCAGAUUAUCAGUCUACAACAACAAAUUAACAGUCUGCAAGGCCAACUAACCAGUCAGUAACAACAGAUAUUGAGGCAACAUGACUAUAUCAAAGUGCCAGAGCAGUGUCUGGAUGGGCCAAUUUCCACCACAGCAGCUUCAGCCAGGUGAACUGUCAGGAUGAGCACGAUGAGCAGAAUUACUAGGGGACCUUUCAUUGAUGAGUUUGGGACACGUUCAGCUGCUGCUAAUGCUGAUAUGGGGCAUUUCGCUGAUGAGUUGGGACUGCUGAUGAGCAACAAUAACCUGAACCUGAUCUGCAUCCCCGCCACUGAUGAUGAUUUUCUACUUUCAUGCUCCUUUGCUAGUUCAAUGAUCUGCAGCUGGUG